rnacentral:ribozyme from 1 species
ACUCCUGUCUUGUUACGACACAACAACCAAGGAGGAAAAGAAAAAGAGAAAAGAAAACAAGGAAGAGAAAAGAAAGAGGAACACAC